UAGACUAACUACCCCUGCAUUCAGAAUUCAUAUAGCGAUUGAAAAUUGAACUCCGUGCACGGUAGUAGUAGUAGUCAGAUCUAUUGUUUCUAAUCAAUUGCUAUAUGGAUUCAGAAUGCAGGUGUAGUUUGUUCA
rnacentral:pre_miRNA from 1 species